ensembl:rRNA 5S_rRNA 5S ribosomal RNA
GCCAGCAGCCAUAUCACCCUGCAACUCACAACUGGCAACCCACUGAAGCUAAGCAGGCGUGAGCCUGGUCAGUACCUGGAUAGGAGACCUCCUGGGAAAAACUAAGGUUGCUGCUGAAA